rnacentral:rRNA from 1 species
GGAAAGGCUCCUUGCUUGCAAGGGGUACUCGAGUGGCGAACGGGUGAGUAACACGUGGGUGAUCUGCCUUGCACUUCGGGAUAAGCCUGGGAAACUGGGUCUAAUACCGGAUAGGACCAUGCUUUAGUGUGUGUGGUGGAAAGUUUUUUCGGUGCAAGAUGAGCCCGCGGCCUAUCAGCUUGUUGGUGGGGUAAUGGCCUACCAAGGCGACGACGGGUAGCCGGCCUGAGAGGGUGUACGGCCACAUUGGGACUGAGACACGGCCCAGACUCCUACGGGAGGCAGCAGUGGGGAAUAUUGCACAAUGGGCGCAAGCCUGAUGCAGCGACGCCGCGUGGGGGAUGACGGCCUUCGGGUUGUAAACUCCUUUCGCUAGGGAAGAAGCCACUGUGUGGUGACGGUACCUGGAUAAGAAGCACCGGCUAACUACGUGCCAGCAGCCGCGGUAAUACGUAGGGUGCGAGCGUUGCCCGGAAUUACUGGGCGUAAAGAGCUCGUAGGUGGUUUGUCGCGUCGUCUGUGAAAUCCCGGGGCUUAACUUCGGGCGUGCAGGCGAUACGGGCAUAACUAGAGUGCUGUAGGGGAGACUGGAAUUCCUGGUGUAGCGGUGAAAUGCGCAGAUAUCAGGAGGAACACCGAUGGCGAAGGCAG